CCCACUUAUUAACGACCCCCCAGUGCGGAGGGAAUUUUCCCCUUCUUACGGUGGAUCCUGGCGGGACGAGAAUUGCUCUUGGGAUUGAGCUUUAGACAUGCGGAAUGGAUCGUCUUUUUGACUGCAGGAGGGCGUAGCAUACGACUCAGUAACAUGUAGUCAACCUGGCCUGGAGACGUCGGAUAACCCCGGGAAACGUGGAUUAAUUCUCGAUAGGUCACCUCAUCGGUAAGGAGAGAUGUCCCAAAGGGGAGCUGUGAGCAUGUUUCACUACUAUCGCUCCAGGAUGGGACUGCGGCCGAUCAGGCUGUUGGCGGGGUAAAGGCCCUCCAAACCUGUAACCGGUACGGGCUUUGAGAGAAGGAGCCCGGAGAUGGACACUAUGUCAAGGGUCCAGGUCCUUCGGGGCGCAGCAGGCGCGAAACCUUCGCAAUGCGCGAAAGCGUGACGAGGUUAGUCCGAGUGGCUUCCGCUGAGGAGGUCUUUUGCUGGCUCUAAAAAGGCUGGAGAAUAAGGGGAGGGCAAGCCUGGUGUCAGCCGCCGCGGUAAUACCAGCACCCCGAGUGGUCGGGACGUUUAUUGGGCCUAAAGCAUCCGUAGCCGGUUCUACAAGUCUUCCGUUAAAUCCACCUGCUUAACAGAUGGGCUGCGGAAGAUACUAUAGAGCUAGGAGGCGGGAGAGGCAAGCGGUACUCGAUGGGUAGGGGUAAAAUCCGUUGAUCCAUUGAAGACCACCAGUGGCGAAGGCGGCUUGCCAGAACGCGCUCGACGGUGAGGGAUGAAAGCUGGGGGAGCAAACCGGAUUAGAUACCCGGGUAGUCCCAGCUGUAAACGAUGCAGACUCGGUGAUGAGUUGGCUUAUUGCUAACUCAGUGCCGCAGGGAAGCCGUUAAGUUUGCCGCCUGGGGCGUACGGUCGCAAGACUGAAACUUAAAGGAAUUGGCGGGGGAGCA
rnacentral:rRNA from 1 species